rnacentral:snoRNA from 1 species
GUCUGAAUGAUGACUUGAGCUGUCGGAUACCCCUUCACUCGGCUUUAUGAGUGAAACACUCAGUCUGACAAAC